AAGCCACUGGGAUACAACAACAACACCUCAUCUAUGUUACUGUACUUGUCAUGUAUAAUGAGAGGGAUAGAGUUGGAUCCAGCCAAGACCGCAAAGGCCAUGGUUGAGGGCAAAUAUCAACAAGAGAAAGAGAAGACCAAAGUUGAGGUCCAGAAAGUUCCUGCAG